rnacentral:misc_RNA from 1 species
AAGACUAUAGACCUGCGGAGUACCUGCGGAAGGAUCAUUAAAUAAUGAUGGUUUAGUUCUUUUUCUUACGAAAAGGCUAAGCUUUAUCUUUUUACUGUGAAAUGUUUUUUAUUUUUGACCCUGGGUGGUUGACGCAAGUCUUCUGCCCAAGAGUGUUGCCAUACAGACAGUGCUGCCCCUAUUUCGUUCAUAGAGCUGUCAUAAUGGAUGCUUUUAUUAUGCAAAUAAUAAAUUCACUCU